rnacentral:lncRNA from 1 species
CGGCGCUUUCCGCGUCGCACAGCGCACCCGCCCGGCUUGGAGCCCUUUCCCCAGGAUGUGCUUGCUGUCGCGCAGGAAGCCAUCAUACGCGAAGGCGCUCACGCCCACAGCUACCAGACUCUGAAGAAGAUGGCAUUUCCUCCCGAUGUUGCCAUCACUUCAUUCCGUCAGCCAAGUUCUUCUUUGUGGCUCAAGGAAUGUUCGCUCUUUGAGAUACCAUCAACAAAGCACGUGAAAUUGUCAGAGGCUGAGCUUUCAGGAAAAUCCUAUUGACAACAGCCAAGUGGGAGUCAGUCUCCGUCCUCAGUGACCUGUCUUUGUUCCUUAGAUUAGAGGACCCUCAUUCACAUCUUCUUUCUGCGGCGAUAGUCAAGAUGCUCACAUGGGGUAAAACCCUAUCAAUUUAGGCUAAUUGGAGGGAAGGCCGUGGAAUGAGGGAAAAGUCAAGUGUAUUCAGUAACCAAAAAAUAUGCUAAUAAAGGGUUGCUAAGUAGAAAAACAUUCUUUGGAAACUAUCUCUAAGAACUAUUUUAAUUAUCACACAAACUGCUUGUAUGGUGCAUUUAUAAAGUUUGACCUCAGUUUGUUCUUAAGCAGCAUUACUUGCUGGGAAAGCCUUUUUAUCAGCUCAACGCCACACUCCAACUUGAGCUCAGUAUGGUUAGUACAAAUUACCAAUUACCAGGUUUCAUGUUAAUGAGGUUUUCAUGCCAUAAGGAUUAUAGGGUCUUGGAGACAGAAGGAAUCUUAGUGGGAAUUGAAUCCAAUCUUUUAUCCAUUUCUAGAAGCCUCUGCUUGACUAUUUCCUGAGCCAGAACCACACAUAUGAGGGGAUAACACAGUCCAUCAAAAACACUGCUCUAGAACAUAGAAAACAGGGCCGGG